rnacentral:rRNA from 1 species
UACGUAGGGGGCAAGCGUUAUCCGGAUUUACUGGGUUUAAAGGGUGCGUAGGUGGGUUGGGAAGUCAGUGGUGAAAUACUUUCGCUUAACGAAGGAACUGCCAUUGAUACUAUCAAUCUUGAAUGUAGUGGAGGUAGGCGGAAUGCGUCAUGUAGCGGUGAAAUGCUUAGAUAUGACGCAGAACACCAAUUGCGAAGGCAGCUUGCUACACUACUAUUGACACUGAGGCACGAAAGCGUGGGGAUCAAACAGG